UUAAGGUUUCUCAAUAGAUCUAACUCUUGCAAAGAGUUAAUUUUUAAUAAACUAAAACCCCA
rnacentral:tRNA from 1 species